rnacentral:tRNA from 3 species
GCCGGUGUGGCGGAAUGGCAGACGCGACGGACUCAAAAUCCGUUUCUUGAGAGGGAGUGGGGGUUCGAGUCCCUUCACCGGCA